rnacentral:lncRNA from 1 species
CUCCUCGCACAGGAAAGGCACCCGUUUUCCCUUCCAGAGUCAGUCCCUGUAUUUGAAAUGAGAUGUUUCAAAAAUGCAGAUUCCUAGUCUCACCUCCAGACCACCUGUAAGAAAAUCUCAAAGGAGCACCAGGCAGAUGUGGUGGUAUGCACCUCGGGAGACACAGACAGAGCUCUAUUAGUUAGGACUAACCUGGUCUGCAUGAGUUAGAGACCACAAAGCAAGUUCCAGGUCAGCCAAGGCAACAUUGUGAGACCUUGUCUCAAACGUGUGAGUGUGUGUGUGUGUGUGUGCAUGUACUGACAUCAGGGCACACAUUAGUGCAUGCAGGUGCACAUGCAUGUGUGUACCUGUGUGUGUGGGGGGGUGUCAUUCUUAGGAACCACCCACCUUGUGUUUUUGUGAUAGCUUCUCUCUCUGGGUCCGCUGGUUAGGCCAGGAGCCCCAGGGAUCCUCUUAACUCUACCUCCCUACGCUUUAUAAGCAUCCACCAACCAACACACCUGGCUUUUCUCACAUGGAUAUUAGAAAUCAGACUCCCCAGGGCUCCCCAUGCUUGCUCUCAGCAAACACUUUGCCAGCUGAGCUACCUCUCCCCUGCCCCAUGAUCUGGAUCUUUAAAAGCCCCGUGAGCAUCUGGUGGUGGUGGUGCAUACCUUUAAUCCUAGGUAGAAGCAGUCAGAUCUCUGAGUUCAAGGCCAGCCUAGUCUACAGAGCAAGUUCCAUGACAGCCAGAGUUCCAUGGAACCCCGUCUCAGAAACAAAACAAAACGACAAAAAAAGUAGCCCUGUGAACUGCCUAGUUAGGGAGCCCCUUUAUCUAAUUGCCCCACCCAAUUCAGUCUCGGCCAUCUGAACCCAGCAUCUGGCCCAGGAGAACUUUCUUGAAGCACAGACUGCUUUGUCAAAAGCCUUGGGUCACUCGCUGUUGCCUGCAGGAAACUGAAGCCAUUGUUGUAGCCUUGACAUUGGCUUCGCUUGCUCUCCAGCAAGUGCCCUGAGCUGGGCUCUGCAUGUUGGCCUCCUUUCCCAGUGCUCCUCUCCCUCCUCUUCUUCUCUAGGCUCCAAACUGCAGUAGACACCAUGGCACACAAGGCAACGGUGUUCCUGAAACUCUGAGCCCUCAGCACAAGGUGUAAGGAACAACUGAUGAAACGCCCUUGUGCUGAGCACAGCGUGCCUGGGAUGAUGUCAUCGCUGGGGAGCCUGAGGUGGAAGCCGCUGUUGGGCUUUGUUGCUGUUGUCCAGAAGGCCGUGUGCUUUACUAAUGCUGUCAGUAAUGCCGUGAGUGUCUGCACUCUGCCCAGAAGAAAACAUCUGCUCGGAUGAAUCAGAGGAAAGCUUUGCUACAGGAUAGAUGUGGUGGUGUGAGCACUUAAUCCCAGCACUCAGGAUGGGUGUGGUGGUGUGAGCAUUUAAUCCUAGCACUCAGGAAGCAGAGGCAGGUGGAUCUCUGUGAGAUUGAGGCCAGCCUGGUCUACAGAGUGAGUUCCAGGACAGUGGGCUACAUAGUGAGACUCUCCUGGGGGGGG